GCUCCUCCACCCCCCAGGCCUGGGAUGCCGGCAGGUGGGGUGUUUGGUCUGCCGAGACCUGGGAUGCCGCCCCCACCACCGCCCAACCCGCAGCAGCCUCCUCAGAACCCGCAGCAGUAGUGAUUAUGCGGGGCAAGAUGAUUUUCUGUGAUUAUGCGACCGGAAAUUGGAUCAAUUUGUCUCCCCUCUUCUUUUCUAUAAAUCCAAUUAUUAUCUGAUUCAUGUAAUAUGCUAAUCUGAUCAGCAUAAUGCACUUAUUUCAGUAAUGUGUGUGGAAUUUCCUUAUGAUGAAAUUUAAGGGACUUCGCUGAUUUCUUAUU